rnacentral:rRNA from 1 species
GAUGAACGCUGGCGGCGUGCCUAAUACAUGCAAGUCGAGCGAACAGAUGAGGAGCUUGCUCCUCUGACGUUAGCGGCGGACGGGUGAGUAACACGUGGAUAACCUACCUAUAAGACUGGGAUAACUUCGGGAAACCGGAGCUAAUACCGGAUAAUAUAUUGAACCGCAGGGUUCAAUAGUGAAAGACGGUUUUGCUGUCACUUAUAGAUGGAUCCGCGCCGCAUUAGCUAGUUGGUAAGGUAACGGCUUACCAAGGCAACGAUGCGUAGCCGACCUGAGAGGGUGAUCGGCCACACUGGAACUGAGACACGGUCCAGACUCCUACGGGAGGCAGCAGUAGGGAAUCUUCCGCAAUGGGCGCAAGCCUGACGGAGCCACGCCGCGUGAGUGAUGAAGGUCUUCGGAUCGUAAAACUCUGUUAUUAGGGAAGAACAAAUGUGUAAGUAACUAUGCACGUCUUGACGGUACCUAAUCAGAAAGCCACGGCUAACUACGUG